rnacentral:lncRNA from 1 species
AGUUGAAAGCACAAAAUUCCCAAACUAAGAGCUACCAGUCUCUAUGAAUCUAAGAUACUCCCAUGUCUUGGCCUUAUACAAUCGCAUAUUCAUCUCUGUUCUCCAUCCAAAUUGCCCACUCCUUCUUCUUCAACAUGCUUGGAACUUUCAAGACUUUGUACCUUUGGUUAUACUGUAUUAUCAGGCUGGACUGUUAUUUCUUAUCUGCUCAAAUUCCUUUUUCUAUGAGAGGCCAUAUUGAGCCGUGUUUAAGAACAUGGACUAAUGGGUCCAGUCUACCUGGGUUCAAAUCCUAGCUCCCUUGCAUAAUACAUCUGUGACCUUGGAAAACUUAACAUUGACCUCGUCUGUCACUGCUGUAAUUCCAGAGCUUAAAAUAGUGCCUGUCACAACACAGGCACUUGGGACUCAUUUGUCGAAUAAAAGAAGAAAUAAAUGAAUCCAUGAAUUAA